AUUGAACGCUGGCGGCAGGCUUAACACAUGCAAGUCGAGCGGAGAUGAGGUGCUUGCACCUUAUCUUAGCGGCGGACGGGUGAGUAAUGCUUAGGAAUCUGCCUAUUAGUGGGGGACAACAUUCCGAAAGGAAUGCUAAUACCGCAUACGCCCUACGGGGGAAAGCAGGGGAUCUUCGGACCUUGCGCUAAUAGAUGAGCCUAAGUCGGAUUAGCUAGUUGGUGGGGUAAAGGCCUACCAAGGCGACGAUCUGUAGCGGGUCUGAGAGGAUGAUCCGCCACACUGGGACUGAGACACGGCUCAGACUCCUACGGGAGGCAGCAGUGGGGAAUAUUGGACAAUGGGCGGAAGCCUGAUCUAGCCAUGCCGCGUGUGUGAAGAAGGCCUUUUGGUUGUAAAGCACUUUAAGCGAGGAGGAGGCUACCUGGAUUAAUACUCUAGGAUAGUGGACGUUACUCGCAGAAUAAGCACCGGCUAACUCUGUGCCAGCAGCCGCCGUAACAC
rnacentral:rRNA from 1 species